rnacentral:lncRNA from 1 species
AUUUAACACAAAUAAAAAGAUUUAUGCAGUUUCAGAGAUAUGCAGAUAUAUUAGUCAGGAAACUAUUGCAUAAAUAUGUUAACUAUAUAUAUCAACAGUCUGAAAUUGAAUUCUGCUAUAUGCAUAAGAACAUUAGUAUAAGUUUUAGAACCUACUUUGUAAGGAAAAAUAUUCAUGGAUGUGGAAAGUUGCAAUGUAUCUCACUUAUAUUUUGGUUCUUCUUAUCUAUGCAAAUUGUCAUUUUCUUCAAUGAAUGUUGUUAAAAAAAUACAGCAGAUCCUUGUUUAAUGUCAGGGUUAGUUCCUGAAAAUCACAAUGUCAACUGAAACCAAAAAUUCCAAUCACCCAGUAUAUAAAUUUUUCAAGAAAUGGAUUCCUAAUUUGAUUCCAUAUCCUCUAGAUGGAAAGCCAACAUUUCAUUAAUCAAUGGAAAGUCAGACAUUUCAUUAGACUGACUGAUAUUUGCA